rnacentral:tRNA from 1 species
GGAGAGCUAGUUUAAUACAAAACAUUUGACUUCGACUCAGAAACUUGCGGAGACACCCCGCAGCUCCCCA